rnacentral:lncRNA from 1 species
AUUUGAUCAUAAAAGGACAAGAGAGAAGAAGUGGUUAUAAGAUGUCAACAUUUGUUUCCAGUUCCCGUCAGAGACAAAGAAACACAAACCCAAGGAUUGAAUCACUUGGUGGUCCAGUAAAAGAAUGCAUUCUCCUCAGCUAUCUGGAGAAGUUCAAGAUUGUCUUUGAUAAAAGAAUAUUUACCAGGUGUCUGAAAAUACCAAGCUGGAGAAUUAGUCUAUGGUGAUUAAAAACUCUCAAAGCAUGUCUUACCAACUGGAGAAUUUUUCCUAUGUCAACCAAAGGGACCUCCCAGUGCCAAGUGUAUAAGUGUGUCUGGAAUUGGUGGGUUCUUGGUCUCACUGACUUCAAGAAUGAAGCUGCAGACCCUCCUGUUAGGAGCCUUUUGACUCUUUCACAGCUAGCAUGAAGGCACAGGGAGGGAAAUCUCAAAAACCAACAACCUGUGUAUUCCCAGCCUAUUAAUCAAUAGAAAAUCACUUCAACUGGAUUAGGGUCUUGUACCUGGAAGAAAGGCUGUUAUGGACAUUGGAAUUGGAUUUUUAC